UCGGGAAUUUUGCGCAAUGGACGAAAGUCUGACGCAGCAACGCCGCGUGAGGGAUGACGGCCUUCGGGUUGUAAACCUCUUUUGUCAGGGACGAUGAUGACGGUACCUGGCGAAUAAGCCACGGCUAACUACGUGCCAGCAGCCGCGGUAAUACGUAGGUGGCAAGCGUUGUCCGGAUUUACUGGGCGUAAAGAGCGCGCAGGCGGUCGUUCAAGUCCCGUGUGAAAGCCCCCGGCUCAACUGGGGAGGGUCACGGGAUACUGAUCGACUCGAAGGCAGGAGAGGGUAGUGGAAUUCCCGGUGUAGUGGUGAAAUGCGUAGAUAUCGGGAGGAACACCAGUGGCGAAGGCGACUACCUGGCCUGUUCUUGACGCUGAGGCGCGAAAGCUAGGGGAGCAAACGGGAUUAGAUACCCCGGUAGUCCUAGCCGUAAACGAUGGACACUAGGUGUUGGUGGUAUCAACCCCGCAGUGCCGAAGCUAACGCAUUAAG
rnacentral:rRNA from 1 species